rnacentral:pre_miRNA from 1 species
ACAACAACAUUUGGACCGUCGGUCUACCGAGCAAUGUCACCCGCUCGGUGGAAGAUCUUCCCUCCGUCGUUUAAG